UACGUAUGGUGCAAGCGUUAUCCGGAUUUACUGGGCGUAAAGGGAGCGCAGGCGGCGCGCCAAGUCUGAUGUGAAACCCCGGGGCUCAACCCCGGGACUGCAUUGGAAACUAUGUAACUAGAGUACCGGAGAGGUAAGCGGAAUUCCUAGUGUAGCGGUGAAAUGCGUAGAUAUUAGGAGGAACACCAGUGGCGAAGGCGGCUUACUGGACGGAAACUAACGUUGAGGCUCGAAAGCGUGGGGAGCAAACAGG
rnacentral:rRNA from 1 species